ensembl:lncRNA
CUGAUAUUUAGUCGUCAGGUAUGGCAACCAUAAUCCAACGUUUCCUAGACGUCAUAAUGGCAACGUCCACACAACGUCAAAUUAAAACAUCAUUUGAUGUUGAUCUGUAGUUAUUUUUAGGUUGUGGCAUUAACUAACCAAAAUCCAACGUCGAGCCAACGUCUCAAGCCAACGUCACAUUGACAUCAAAUACUGAUGUUUUGUCGUCAGGUAUGGCAACCUAAAUUCAACAUCUAGUAGACGUCAUUAUGGUAACGUCCAAUCAACGUCAAGUUAUAACAUCAUUUGAUGUUGAUCUGUGGUUAGUUUUAGGUUGUGGCAUUAACUAACCAAAAUCCAACGUCGAGCCAACGUCUCAAGCCAACGUCACAUUGACAUCAAAAACUUAUGUUUUGUCGUCAGGUAUGGCAACCAUAAUCCAACGUUUUCUAGACAUCAUAAUGGCAACAUCCACACAACGUCAAAUUAAAACAUCAUUUGAUGUUGAUCUGUAGUUAGUUUUAGGUUGUGGCAUUAACUAACCAAAAUCCAACGUCGAGCCAACGUCUCAAGCCAACGUCACAUUGACAUCAAAUACUGAUACUUAGUCGUCAG